GCGGGUUUAGCUCAGUUGGGAGAGCGUCAGACUGAAGUCAAACUUCAAUCCUCACCGAAUCAAGUGGCAUCUGAAGGUCGUGUGUUCGAUCCACACAAACCGCA
rnacentral:tRNA from 1 species